GCCGAGGUGGUGAAAUUGGUAGACACGUCAGCCUUAGGAGCUGAUGCCAGCAAUGGUGUGGAGGUUCGAGUCCUCUCCUCGGCA
rnacentral:tRNA from 1 species